rnacentral:rRNA from 1 species
UAGUCCACGCCGUAAACGAUGGUCACUAGUUGUUGGGGUCUUGUACCUCAGUGAUUAAGAGAAAUUGAUAAGUGACCCACCUGGGGAGUACGAUCGCAAGAUUGAAACUCAAAGGAAUUGACGGGGGCCCGCACAAGCGGUGGAGCAUGUGGUUUAAUUCGAUGAUACGCGAGGAACCUUACCAGGGCUUAAAUGUAAGUUGCAUGAUUUAGAGAUAGAUCUUUCUUCGGACUACUUACAAGGUGCUGCAUGGUUGUCGUCAGCUCGUGCCGUGAGGUGUCAGGUUAAGUCCUAUAACGAGCGCAACCCCUACCGUUAGUUGCCAGCAUGUUAUGAUGGGGACUCUAGCGGGACUGCCGGUGCAAACCGAGAGGAAGGUGGGGAUGACGUCAAAUCAUCACGGCCCUUACGUCCUGGGCUACACACGUGCUACGAUGGCGGUAACAGAGGGCCGCGACAUCGCAAGAUGUAGCUAAUCCCUAAAAACCGUCUCAGUUCGGAUUGUUCU